rnacentral:lncRNA from 10 species
CGCCAGGGGAUGCAAACCCUUCUGCCCCUUUUUGCUACCCCUGAAGCUUACUGUUAGUGGUCGAGUUUUUCUGGAAGUGGGCUUCCGCGAUCGCGGGGACCAACGCCCUGAGCUCUUGUGCCCAAAGGGGAUCGCCAGGUUUUUUGAUGCGGAUCGAAAGGGACUGGCCCCGGAGCCUACAACCUGACGCAGGUGGGACUUGGGGAAAUGUCGAGAAACCUAGGUCUGGGACUUGAGUUGGCUUCCAGGGCACACAUUCUUGUUCAGAAGAAACACAUUGCAAAAAUCGGGAGGUGACGGGCAGAUGAAGUGUCGGCGCUUCGCCUCGGGACUCCAGUGCAACCUAUGGGGCUUUUGGAAAUGAGGAAGUCGAUGACUCUGCAGGGACUCCUCUGACCCAGGAGCAGAUGGCGCUCGUCUGGGCACUCCCCAGGAGAAAAGGUGCAUCGGGAAGCAGCCUGGCUUGUGGAUGGUGGACAAGGUGGAGGAGAGAGAAUUCCUUGGCAGUAGCAUUAUGAACAAAUGCAGGGCUGAGAAACAGCAUGGUGGCCUUGACUAAGUUUAUGGCGACAGCAGAUAAGGAAACAGCUGAAUUUAUGUCACUUGCCCAAUGUCACACAACUAGCAAGACUGACUCCUUGAAGCUCAUCACAUAUGGAGUCUUGCUCUGUCGCCCAGGCUAGAGUGCAGUGGCGCGAUCUCAGCUCACUGAAACCUCUGCCUCCCGGGUUCAAGUGAUUCUCCUGCCUCCGC